ACUGUAAUCUAAUUACCGUUUUUGCAAUAGUAAUCCCUUACAUUACUCGUUACUUGAAAAAAGUAAUCAGAUUACAGUAACGCGUUACUGCCCAUCUCUGGCUGUAUAGAUGACUUGAUCUCACAGGUGAGGGACCCAACAGUAAAGCAUGAAAGAAGGAUGGGUUCUUUUUCUGUGGGAGUAUCUGGGGUAGAGAACCUGAAGCACUUAUCAGUUUGAAUGUAAGCCAAGUUUUUCUGAUCAGUUCAAACAACAAAAGGAUGUUCUGCCCCCUCAAGCCAGUGCCUCCAUACCACUAAAGAGUCCUCUAUGUCCUAGUUUCAUUCUGCAGGGGAUAAACUGCAGAAUGCUCCACUGUCAUGGUCCCAAGGGAAGCUGAAGUCCUGCGAGGCAAACUUUCCUGAACCUGGUGGGUCCUGCAGCUUUGGUGUUCUCUCAUGUGGUCAUCUAAAUACAUGCACAUGGGAACAAGCCUGAUCAAGGGUCUCAUGAAAUUCUUUGGUUGCUAAAUCACUUAUAAUAUUGUUAUUUAAUUGAUGGAGGAAUGCGCCCCGAAGAGCUCUUUCUUCUUCACCACCAGAAUCCAAAAAUCGAUGGAGAAGUCAGCCACACUUUGCUUUCCUUUCCUAGUUCCUUUCACAAACACACACGCUCAGGGGGCUCAGAUGGAGUGGAUCGUAGCAAUUAGCCCAACACAUGGUGCUCCACCCAGAACAGAGAAACUGAAGGAUCCAAAGCAGCUGCUUUGAGGUGCACUGGAUCUGAGGGGGCAGUGAUCUUCUGCUCUAGCCAUUCACACACUGAUAGAGAUUCCAAGAAAUCUUUUGUUCACAGACGCUUGGAGACGCCUGACCAGACCAUGCAGGAAACAGACUCUUCUCUACCAACCAACCCCAACCUGUCAGACCUCCACCUCUCCCCUCAACUGUCACUCAGCACCAGAUCUCUGCAGGGCCACAUUCUCAGCUCCCUACUGGACGCCUGUAGCUCUGUAACUGUACAACAACACACCCAACUAAUGUCAUCGUGUACUAUGCCAGUGACACUGCUGUGGAGCCUGAGCACCAAUAAUUCUAUUCUAUUCUCUCUAACUAGAAAACCCAAAGUGAGGAAGCGUCUGUGAGGAGGAAAGCCAAGCUUCCACUGUGGUCGACCUACUUUCACAGGAGCCAACAUCCACAGAGGGGAAAAUGGCAGAAAAUAUGGAAACCCAGCCUCAAACACUCCAUGCAAAGCCAGGGUUCACAGGCACAUAAAGAAAGGAUGACUGUUUGCUGAUCUAUCUUCAACAGUUUAUCUGUGUGUGGGUCGAAGCAGAGGUGUUCCUUCCACACAGCUGCCUCAUUCAGGUGAUACUAAAAAUGUAAUAGCACAUUCAACAUGUUCUCAUUAAUGAACACCAAUACAAGCCAAGUACCGCUGACAGAACAGAAAGUCAUUAGAAAAUCAACCAUCUGAUAUCAGGAGCUAGCUUCUCCAGGAGGGGGCAGGAGCACUGGAGUAGGAUGCUGAGACCUGAUAGGAGAGCUGUGUGUUGUGUGAAGAAAUAGAAGCUACCUGCACAGCCCGUUCUCUGGCCGGUCUGCUCUGGUCAUCAUUGAUCAUCCGGCUGACGUCUUCCCGGUCUGCACAGCCUGCUGCCUGCUUCUUACAGCAUCCUGUUCAGCAUCAAUCCCUGGCUGUAGUGCUGUGAAGAGGCUUUUACUGGGUCACACAGGUGUGGCUGAUCAGAGGUGACUGUAGCCUCUUCAGUUAUCGCUUCAACCAGCCCUUCCUUCAGAACUGCUGACUGAGGUGAGCAGACGAAACCCCAGCAGCGCUGAGUCAGCACAUUUCCACCUCUGAACCUCAGGUCAGUGGCCAAGCCUGAAGUCUGCACCGGGACACUUUUAGUGUGUCUGUGACACCAGUGGAAACAGCAUUACUGAUCCCCAGAAUAGAGACAUAGGUGUUUGAUUACAGUGACAUUUUCAGCUGCUGUUAUUAUUAUUACAUUAUUUUAAUUGAAUCAAGCAAAGAGUGAAGAAAGAGCAAAGACAGAAAGAAACACAAGAUUAAUAUUCAAAAUGUUUGAGAAGCAGAAGAUGCGGUGGAACCAAGAACAGAUGGUCUUCAUCCUGAUGAAGCUGUUCUUACAUCUACCACAGUAGAAAGGACUGAAGAAUGAAGGCACAGCUUUGUUUCUUCUUGGACAAAAUGUCUCCUUUCUGUGACUUUGUAAAAAGGUUUUUAAAAUGUCCCAGAGUGAUUUGAAAAAUCGGAUUAUUUUUAUUUACACUAAUGUCAUUAUUUGAAACCUGUUUUAUCCACUGAUACAAAAAAUGUGAUGGAAAUAAUAAGAAAACUCGCGAUAGCUCAACACUAAAAUAAUCCUUGCAUCACUGGUUUUGCUUCCUGUUCCAUUUAACUGCCUUGUGAUUGGUUGCCCCUCACAAAAAACAGGUUUUGAACAUAAGUCAGGUUCUGGAGCUGAAAACUGAAGCUAACAUGUAAAAUGACACGACACCACUAAAAGUCAGUCUUCAUGGACUCAUACUUUACUGUUAUUAAAAACCAUAUUUAAAACCAACGUACAGUUCAUGAGAUGUAUCAUUGUUGGAGUCAUCUAUGGCUUCAUUUUCAUGCUGUUGGAGCCUUUUGUUCAUUUUUUGUUGUUUUUGAUUAUAUGACAAAAAAACAAACAUCCAAGAAGUUUGUGUUUUAGUUAUCUUACUUAUUAAGCUAGCUAAUGUUACCUGAGAAAUCAGCAUUCCAACCUCUUGAGAUCAUUUCUGAGAAACACCACGACCAAAAUGCUAACACUAAAAAUCCUAAAGAUCUGGGCUUUACAUUUCAACUAUUCGUUGCUACACUUUUUAUUAAAUUUAUCUGAAUUGGAUUUUUAUAAUACCGUCUCACAACAACAGUGACCUGAAUAAACCUUUCAGAGGAGAAUCUGCGUCACCAGCUCGAUCCCCGACGGUUCAGGGGGACGAUCAGCUGGUGAAAGCCUGGAUAAAAGAAGACAUUGCUGGGAUGCUUCUGCAGGGCGAGUGGGUACAGAGUGGAAGACUACAGUGGAUGUAAGCCUCAAAAUAGCCACUGAUUCCCGGCUCAGACCCUCAGUAACAGCCCAGUGUUUACAUGCAAACAGCUAAUAAAAUGCCUGGUGAUGACCCACAACGACCCCUCUGAAAUAUACAGACGUGUGUGUCUGCAAGAAACACAUGAUAAAACAUGUCCGUCUGCGCGUGUUAGCAUAAACAUUCACGUUUACAUGAAUUCCACUAGACUGAAACAUGAUCUGGCAACAAUGAUGUCUGUCUCUGCUUGUGAGGACUCUUGUUGACAUAAUGCUACAAAUCUGGUUCUUUCCUUGUUAAGAGAUUUUUUAGGAUUUUGGGAUUUUUAUUAUGUUAUGCUUAAAAGUACGUUUCAUUAUCUCUGUG